rnacentral:lncRNA from 1 species
GGAAAAGAAGAAGAGGAUGGGAAAGAAGGAGAGAGGAAAUAAUGGAUUAUCGAUGAGAAGGGAUGGAGAUGAAAAGAGCCGCCGUGAAGGGGACAGCUUUUGAGUGAUUUGGAGGAAGAUGAGGAGGCAAAAUGGAUAAAGAAAAAAAAGGAGAAGGUAGAAAGAGCUGCCAUGGAGGAAGAGAAAUAAGUGAGGGAAUGAGAAGAGGAAAGAUUUUUUGUCGGUGAGAAGGGGUGGAUGUAGAGAGGGGCCAUCUAAAGGGUAGGAUUUAUAGAUUAGUUUGGAGGAAAAAGAGGAU